GCGUGGCUUCCGGAGCUAACGCGUUAAGUCGACCGCCUGGGGAGUACGGCCGCAAGGUUAAAACUCAAAUGAAUUGACGGGGGCCCGCACAAGCGGUGGAGCAUGUGGUUUAAUUCGAUGCAACGCGAAGAACCUUACCUGGUCUUGACAUCCACAGAACUUUCCAGAGAUGGAUUGGUGCCUUCGGGAACUGUGAGACAGGUGCUGCAUGGCUGUCGUCAGCUCGUGUUGUGAAAUGUUGGGUUAAGUCCCGCAACGAGCGCAACCCUUAUCCUUUGUUGCCAGCGGUCCGGCCGGGAACUCAAAGGAGACUGCCAGUGAUAAACUGGAGGAAGGUGGGGAUGACGUCAAGUCAUCAUGGCCCUUACGACCAGGGCUACACACGUGCUACAAUGGCGCAUACAAAGAGAAGCGACCUCGCGAGAGCAAGCGGACCUCAUAAAGUGCGUCGUAGUCCGGAUUGGAGUCUGCAACUCGACUCCAUGAAGUCGGAAUCGCUAGUAAUCGUGGAUCAGAAUGCCACGGUGAAUACGUUCCCGGGCCUUGUACACACCGCCCGUCACACCAUGGGAGUGGGUUGCAAAAGAAGUAGGUAGCUUAACCUUCGGGAGGGCGC
rnacentral:rRNA from 1 species